rnacentral:rRNA from 1 species
CCAGACUCCUACGGGAGGCAGCAGUGGGGAAUAUUGGGCAAUGGGCGCAAGCCUGACCCAGCAACGCCGCGUGAAGGAAGAAGGCUUUCGGGUUGUAAACUUCUUUUUUCAGGGACGAAGCAAGUGACGGUACCUGACGAAUAAGCCACGGCUAACUACGUGCCAGCAGCCGCGGUAAUACGUAGGUGGCAAGCGUUAUCCGGAUUUACUGGGUGUAAAGGGCGUGUAGGCGGGGAAGCAAGUCAGAUGUGAAAACCACGGGCUCAACCUGGGGCCUGCAUUUGAAACUGUUUUUCUGGAGUGCUGGAGAGGCAAUCGGAAUUCCGUGGGUAGCGGGGAAAUGCGUAGAUAUACGGAGGAACACCAGUGGCGAAGGCGGCCUGCUGGACAUUAACUGACGCUGAGGCGCGAAAGCGUGGGGAGCAAACAGGAUUAGAUCCCCGUGUA